rnacentral:rRNA from 1 species
GAUGAACGCUGGCGGCGUGCCUAAUACAUGCAAGUCGAGCGAAUGGAUUAAGAGCUUGCUCUUAUGAAGUUAGCGGCGGACGGGUGAGUAACACGUGGGUAACCUGCCCAUAAGACUGGGAUAACUCCGGGAAACCGGGGCUAAUACCGGAUAACAUUUUGAACCGCAUGGUUCGAAAUUGAAAGGCGGCUUCGGCUGUCACUUAUGGAUGGACCCGCGUCGCAUUAGCUAGUUGGUGAGGUGACGGCUCACCAAGGCAACGAUGCGUAGCCGACCUGGGAGGGGGAUGGGCCACACGGGGACUGAGACACGGCCCAGACUCCUACGGGAGGCAGCAGUAGGGAAUCUUCCGCAAUGGACGAAAGUCUGACGGAGCAACGCCGCGUGAGUGAUGAAGGCUUUCGGGUCGUAAAACUCUGUUGUUAGGGAAGAACAAGUGCUAGUUGAAUAAGCUGGCACCUUGACGGUACCUAACCAGAAAGCCACGGCUAACUACGUGCCAGCCGCCGCGGUAA